UGGGGAAUCUUCCGCAAUGGACGAAAGUCUGACGGAGCAACGCCGCGUGAGUGAUGACGGCCUUCGGGUUGUAAAGCCCUGUUAAUCGGGACGAAUGGCUCUUGUGCGAAUAGUGCGAGGAUUUGACGGUACCGGAAUAGAAAGCCACGGCUAACUACGUGCCAGCAGCCGCGGUAAUACGUAGGUGGCAAGCGUUGUCCGGAAUUAUUGGGCGUAAAGCGCGCGCAGGCGGAUUGGUCAGUCUGUCUUAAAAGUUCGGGGCUUAACCCCGUGAUGGGGUGGAAACUGCCAAUCUAGAGUAUCGGAGAGGAAAGUGGAAUUCCUAGUGUAGCGGUGAAAUGCGUAGAUAUUAGGAAGAACACCAGUGGCGAAGGCGACUUUCUGGACGAAAACUGACGCUGGGGCGCGAAAGCCAGGGGAGCGAACGGG
rnacentral:rRNA from 1 species